GACGUAGGGUGCGAGCGUUGUCCGGAUUUAUUGGGCGUAAAGAGCUCGUAGGCGGUUCGGUAAGUUGGGUGUGAAACCUCCGGGCUCAACCUGGAGACGCCACCCGAUACUGCUGUGACUAGAGUCCGGUAGGGGAGCGUGGAAUUCCUGGUGUAGCGGUGAAAUGCGCAGAUAUCAGGAGGAACACCAGCGGCGAAGGCGGCGCUCUGGGCCGGAACUGACGCUGAGGAGCGAAAGCGUGGGUAGCAAACAGG
rnacentral:rRNA from 1 species